GAGUCCUCAACCGUCAUUUAAUUUAAACUAUGACGCUUCUCUAUGUUCUCUGAUAUUGAGGUGGCACAAAUCCCGAACUCGAACCCAAAGUCAUUUAAUAGAUCUCUAUUAACUAACCUUGCUCGAACCCGACUACCCGAAUCAAAGCAAACAAACAUGGAAGCAUUGGAGGGAGAAAUGGGACAUCCAGCUUAAAUGUUUUUGGUUAUGUGUUAAAAUUUGGACAACGGUGGUUGCUUCUCAUUUUUUUUUCAUUUCAUUACUAAAUGAAGGACAAAGGCAAUAUGAAUGCAUUAAGAGAACAAGAAAUGCCUCAAUGUCAUGUACUUGUAAGAAAAUUAACUUUGGAGGAGAUAAGUCGAAUGAUCAUAAACCCUUUUUUUAUAAGCAACAGGUGUGGCCGAUGCUACAAGUUUGCACAUUACGGACCAAAGUGCACCACAUGUUCAGUAUCCUAUCAUUACGAGUGUGCUGUCCAGCGUGGAAUGUGCUGUGAGCUUCCUAUACUCCUGCAACCAAAAAAUAUUAGCAACUUAAAAUGUUUAAAGUGUAACGAAAAUGUACAUUUUGGUCCAUAUUGUACAGUGUGUUGUUCCAAAUUCCACAAUUAUUGUUUAACCCCUUAUGAACAAUGCUGUCAGCUCAAUCUCUGUCGGUUGCCUUCACAACAUCAGUGUCACAAAUGUGAGAAGAUAGUUGUUUUCGGUCCAAAAUGUCCAACAUGUGCAAGUGUUUAUCAUCCAGAGUGCGUUUCAGAAGGAUUUGAUUGUUGCAACAAUAGAAUAAGUUAUAAUGAUUCGGGAAAAUAUCAGUGUGCAAAGUGUCGUAGAAAUGCUGCCCUGGGAGUUAUUAUGUGUCAGUACUGUGGGCACAUUUAUCACAACUCCUGUUUGAACGGUGUUAAAAAAAAAUGUUGUAAGCGUAUACCGUUAGAAUUAUUUUUUAUACCUUCUUUCAAAUAUGUCAUAAACUAUUUUAACCAGUUUAACAAGCGCAGAGAACGGAUGAGGAAAUUUGAAGAAAUGGUUGUUAAUCAUACACACUCUCUUCGUAGUAUGAUUAAACACAUACAUAAAGAAGACAGGACGAAGAAAAAAACCGCCGCCUGCCAGACUAAUGCGUUAGACAGUAUUGAAAUUGUGAGUGUCAAAACUGAAACUGAGGUAGAAGUAUCAGAAUCAGAAUCAGAAUUAGAAUUGGAUAUUCCUUCUUCACAAGUUCUGCAAAGGCAAAUGAUUAAGUUUCUAGAACCAAUACCUGUGGUGGGAACUUCACAGAUACCUGACUCAAAUACAGAUGGUGAUGAUACUCUUAAACAUUUCUUUGACUUGUUGUAUAAUAUGGUGAAGAAAUUCCCGCCACAGUUACAAACUCAGGUUAAAAUUGAUCUUUUUAAAACCGUUACAGAGGCUGAGCUGAAGUUGCAGUGUAACAUGCUUGAUGUAACUUUAAAUUCUAAUGGUAAUUAACGUUCAAAGUAUUAGUGUAGUGUGUUUUCAUUUUUUGUUCAUAUGAGGUUAAAAUGUAUGCCUACGUAUGUUAUGUUAAAACGCAUGAACUGCAUGUAAUAUGCGCUUUUUUAUAAUAAAAAAACCUUGUUCAAAAUAUUCUUUCAUAUCUUUUAUUAUUUAUAAAAUGGUAGUUAUUUA